CUUUUCUUUUGUAUUCGAGUUCUUUGAUUUUCUCUCUCAACCGUGCCGUUAUUACUCUCUCUCUAGAAUCUUGUUGAUGGCUUUGUGUCGGAUGUUGUUUGUCUCCGAUUAUAAUCAGGUCACCAAGCACGCACAAUUACAAAAUAGUCGGUGGCUUUAUGUUGUAUUAACUGAUGGGCGUAAAGAAGAAACAUCAGCAAUGUCCACCCAUGAAGAGAGGUGUAGUCGGUACUCAAGUUUGCGCUUACAGCCAGAUGGAACCAGGCGUUGAAAAAAAGGCUAGCACAACAACAGUAGAGGGUGGUAUUGGUAGUACACAUAAAAGUGGUUGGGGUUCUUACAUUUCCUUAAAAUACUAGGCUUAUUGUUUUGAAACUCUUGGUGUAUCAUAUAGUGGAAAUUUAAAACGAAUGACUAGAUUAACUUUUAUUGUAUAAGAAUUUGUAUGUAGUUGUUAUGUAAUGGGUCAAACUAUCCACA